GAUGAAGAACGCAGCGAAAUGCGAUAAGUAAUGUGAAUUGCAGAAUUCAGUGAAUCAUCGAAUCUUUGAACGCACAUUGCGCCCUCUGGUAUUCCGGGGGGCAUGCCUGUUCGAGCGUCAUUAUAACCACUCAAGCUCUCGCUUGGUAUUGGGGUUCGCGGUUUCGCGGCCCCUAAAAUCAGUGGCGGUGCCUGUCGGCUCUACGCGUAGUAAUACUUCUCGCGAUUGAGUUCGAUAGGUCUACUUGCCAGUAACCCCCAAUUUUUACAGGUUGACCUCGGAUCAGGUAGGAAUACCCGCUGAACUUAAGCAUAUCAAUAAGCGGAGGA
rnacentral:misc_RNA from 1 species